rnacentral:rRNA from 1 species
AACGAACGCUGGCGGCAUGCCUAACACAUGCAAGUCGAACGAGACCUUCGGGUCUAGUGGCGCACGGGUGUGUAACGCGUGGGAACCUGCCCUUAGGUUCGGAAUAACUCCCCGAAAGGGGUGCUAAUACCGGAUAAUGUCUUCGGACCAAAGAUUUAUCGCCUUUGGAUGGGCCCGCGUUGGAUUAGCUAGUUGGUAGGGUAAAAGCCUACCAAGGCGACGAUCCAUAGCUGGUCUGAGAGGAUGAUCAGCCACACUGGGACUGAGACGCGGCCCAGACUCCUACGGGAGGCAGCAGUGGGGAAUAUUGGACAAUGGGCGAAAGCCUGAUCCAGCAAUGCCGCGUGAGUGAUGAAGGCCUUAGGGUUGUAAAGCUCUUUUACCCGGGAUGAUAAUGACAGUACCGGGAGAAUAAGCUCCGGCUAACUCCGUG